GUUAAUAUAAUGGUACAUUUUUUUAAACUCUAUUUUCUUAAAACUGCAUUGUUGGUCUUAAGGGCUUGCAAGUAAGCAUUUCACGGUAAGAUCUACACCUGUUGUAUUAGGCUCAUGUGAAAAAUAUAAUUUGGUAUGAUUUGAAAUGUGUCCAUAUCAAAUUAAAUCAAAUGUAUUUGUCACGUACACAGAUUUGCAGAUGUUAUCGUUAAGUUUCUAGCUCCAACAGUCAGUAAUAUAAUGUUUCUAGUUCCAAACAGUCAGUAAUAUUAUGUUUCUAGCUCCAACAGUCAGUAAUAUUAUGUUUCCAACUCCAACAGUCAGUCAUUUUAUGUUUCCAAAAAUUCCCUAAUUAUACGUUGCAUGUGUUCCCUCUGUUUCCCUCAUGUUCUUGUCGGGAAUUGUUCAUUGUAAGUACGUGUGCCUUGUGUACCAGGUGCGAUACGGGUUUGGUGCCCAUGUGUUUGUUGUUUUUUGCCGGUAGUUAUGUUUAUUAAACGGCUCCCGCUAUUUACCCAGUUCUGCUCUCCUGCAUUUGACUUCACUGCCACCAGUUACGCACCCCUAACAAGAACAGUUUAAUUACCUCAGGUUAUGGACACUUUUGCCAGCAAUAAAGCUUCCACGGCCUGUUCCUCGGACAGUGAACAUCUGACAAUAUCUACAUUUUCGACCCAUUGAUCAGCUUGCUCUCUGAAAGCAAAGAAAACAGCUUAUUUUUUAUAGACAUGAAAACAAUAGCUGAGAUAUGACCGUUCAAUCUAAAGCAGCAGAUGUCAUUUUUAGGAAACGUCAAUACAGACCAGUGCUGCUAACCUGAGAUUCCAUCUUCAAUACAGCCCAGUGCUGCUUACCUGAGAUGACAUCAUCAAUACAGCCCAGUGCUGCUAACCUGAGAUGUCAUCAUCAAUACAGCCCAGUGCUGCUAACCUGAGAUGCCAUCUUCAAUACAGCCCAGUGCUGCUAACCUGAGAUGCCAUCUUCAAUACAGCCCAGUGCUGCUUACCUGAGAUUCCAUCUUCAAUACAGCCCAGUGCUGCUUACCUGAGAUUCCAUCUUCAAUACAGCCCAGUGCUGCUAACCUGAGAUGUCAUCAUCAAUACAGCCCAGUGCUGCUAACCUGAGAUGUCAUCUUCAAUACAGCCC
rnacentral:lncRNA from 1 species